UCCCCGUUCGUUCAAUGGUAGGACACCUGGUUCUGGCCCAGGCGAUCGAGGUUCGAAUCCUUGACGGGGAGCC
rnacentral:tRNA from 1 species